rfam:Otolemur garnettii contig105681, whole genome shotgun sequence.
GUGGCUCAAAGAGUAGGGCGCCAGCCCCAUAUGCUGGAGGUGGUGGGUUCAAACCCAUC